rnacentral:lncRNA from 1 species
CACUGGGGAUGGAGGGUAGCCGAUGGGGCCCUGAGCAGGACGUGCCUCUUCCGGACUUGACCACAGAACCCAAGCAUGGUUCAAGCGAUUCUCCUGCUUCAGCCUCCUGAGUAGUUGGGAUUACAGAUGCCCGCCACCGCACCCAGUCACAGAUGGACUCUGAGAGAGAAAAUAGCACCCCUGUCCAAACGUCACAUGCCUGGCGGAGGAACGCAGCCUGGCCUGUGCAGCCGAAUGUCGGAGAGUGCACCUUCCUCUCUUAUUUUGUUUUAUUUCCAGGGAAAGGGAAAGGAAGACAUGCAGGUAAUUUAUCAACUAAAUUACAGGCUGACUGAUAAUAAAGCUCCCCGCCCCACAAAAAAAGGAAA